GGAGAGAUGCGAGAGCGGUUGAAUCGGCGUGACUGGAAAUCACGUGUAGGGGUAACCCCCCUACCGAGGGUUCGAAUCCCUCUCUCUCCG
rnacentral:tRNA from 1 species